AUGUGAUCGUCUCUCGCAUAUCAAUAAGCGGAGGAAAAGAAACUAACAAGGAUUCCCUUAGUAACGGCGAGUGAAGCGGGAAGAGCUCAAAUUUGAAAUCUUCAAGGUUUUACCUUGACGAAUUGUAGUUUAAAGAAGUGUUUUCUGUUGAAGUUUUGGUAAAAGUUCGUUGGAAUAGGACAUCAUAGAGGGUGAGAAUCCCGUAUUUGACCAUUAUUUUCAGCUGUGUGAUACACUUUCAAAGAGUCGGAUUGUUUGGGAAUGCAGUCCAAAAUGGGUGGUAAAUUUCAUCUAAAGCUAAAUAUUGGCGAGAGACCGAUAGCGAACAAGUACCGUGAGGGAAAGAUGAAAAGAACUUUGAAAAGAGAGUUAAACAGUACGUGAAAUUGUCAAAAGGGAAGCGUUUGACACCAGUGUUGUUUUCUCGAAAAUCAAUUAAAAAGAGUUUGAUUUUGUUGUGUAUUGACCUUAACAGCUUGCAUUUCAAUUUUCUUGCUUUUUUUAAUGCACUUUUCGUUUAACAAGUCAACAUCAGUUUCUUUUGUUGUAAAAAGGUCAUUGGAAGGUGGCUUUCUUUUCGGAGAAAGUGUUUAUAGCCUUUGACUCCUGCAAUCGGAGAGACUGAGGUCUGCAGCGUAGAUCCUUCGGGGUUAGAUACGUUUGUGCUAAGUUAUAGCUUUUUAUAGACAACUUGUUGACUAUGAUUAGUCUUGUAGCUUACUCGCUUAUGCUAUUUUACCUACGCUUAGGAUGUUGAAGAUGUAGCACAUCAU
rnacentral:rRNA from 1 species